rnacentral:rRNA from 1 species
GUGCCAGCAGCCGCGGUAAUACGGAGAGUGCGAACGUUGUUCGGAUUUACUGGGCUUAAAGGGCGCGUAGGCGGUUGGUUAAGUUGGAUGUGAAAUCCCUCGGCUUAACCGAGGAACGGCAUCCAAAACUGGCCGGCUUGAGUGGAGGAGGGGAGAGCGGAACUUCUGGUGUAGCGGUGAAAUGCGUAGAUAUCAGAAGGAACGCCGGUGGCGAAAGCGGCUCUCUGGCCUCCUACUGACGCUGAGGCGCGAAAGCCAGGGGAGCAAACGGGAUUAGAUACCCCGGUAGUCCUGGCCGUAAACGAUGGGCACUGGGUAGAGGAAAUUCCGAUAUUUUCUCUGCUGUAGCGAAAGCGUUAAGUGCCCCGCCUGGGGAGUACGGCCGCAAGGCUGAAACUCAAAGGAAUUGACGGGG